rnacentral:rRNA from 1 species
AGCUCCAAUCGCGUACAUUAAAGUUGUUGCAGUUAAAAAGCUCGUAGUUGGAUUUCUGACUUUGACAUUCGGUCCAUUUGCUCUUGUUAGCAUUUGAGUACUUUGUAAUGUUGGAGUCAUUUUUGUGAGAGAGAUUAGCUGCCAUUAAGUUGGUGGCUUUUCAAUCUUGCAUCUUUUACUGUGAAAAAAUUAGAGUGUUUAAAGCAGGCAUUUGCCAAAAUUUUUGAAUACAUUAGCAUGGAAUAAUAAGAUAUGACUUUGGUGGUCUAUUUUGUUGGUUUGCACACUAGAGUAAUGAUUAAUAGGGACAGUUGGGGGUAUUUAUAUUCCAUUGUCAGAGGUGAAAUUCUUGGAUCAGUGGAAGAUAAACUAAUGCGAAAGCAUUUACCAAGGAUGUUU